AGAAUGAUACGCCUGACAAGCAUGAAGAGGAGGGAGCUGAUGAGACCUGAUAGGAGAGGCGACACGACCCAUGAACCAGCUGAAAAUACAAAUGGCACAAAAGCCCUGAGCUACCAGAGCAAAGCCCAUUGUAGCCCCAACAACACUAUGGGUGCCAGACACCGGUAGGUUAAAGAAUGUGGCGACCAGUAACCAGACGCUAGUGCCAGUAAGCGCUGAGAGGGAGCCAACCAUGGCAUACUCCUCAGUACCAUUAAAAGAGUUGAUGUCAAUGAUACCUUUGCGCACAGUGUCUAAAAAUGAUUAAAAAUAUUAAUGUUAUUACAACAAAAGCUUAGGAAAAUAGUUAAAGCUUUUAUCAUGUAUGUCACAUAAUUGAGCUUCUGUUUGUUAAAAGCCUAGGGAUGUCAUUCAUUAUAUUAAUUAUUAUAAUUAUAUAAUAUAUUCGAGGCCUUCCAUGCAACGGCCUUUUUUUCCGAGUGUUGACGAGAAUACCUCGAUAUUACAGAUGUUACUAAUUUGCGCAACCGCGCGUCUUUUAUUAUUUAUACGGGGACAAAUGGGGGUGAUCGUAGGAAAAAUCAAUUUUAACCUUAAAUGAUAGCACUUUGGGUGUGGUCAACAGAAAUUCUUACCCUUAUACCCUAAGAGAUAGCAAACUGUGGUCGAAGGAAUGUUUAACCCUAAGAGCAAGUUUUAACGGUGUUUAAAAGCUCCUCCUAGGGAAAUUUGGUCUUAUUUUAUACCCUAAGAGAUAGCAGAAUCGAAAAAAUCCUUCAACUUCCGCCAGGGAAAAGCAGUUGGUCGAAGUUUUAUUCUCUAAAAGAUAGGACGAUCACCCUCGUCUACUUUUCGUCUGA